rnacentral:misc_RNA from 1 species
GAAAUGCGAUAAGUAAUGCGAAUUGCAGAUUUCAGUGAAUCAUCGAAUCUUUGAACGCACAUUGCACCCGGCGGCCAUUCCGCCGGGUCUGCCUGUCCGAGCGUCGUUUCACCCCUCGAGUCCAAACACUCGGUGUUGGGGAUCUGCAGGGCCCUCAGGGGCGCUGCAGGCCCUGAAAUACAGUGGCGGGCCCUGCUGGAACCCCCUGCGCAGUAACAAACUUCUCGCAUCGGGUGCCGGCGGAGCCUGGCCGUCAACCGGUCGGCGCCCUCCAGGGCGCCGCCCCCUUCAGAACGGUCGACCCCAGGUCAGGCGGGGCUACCCGCUGAGUUUAA